GUUAUAAGUUUACACGUUUGAGCAGUUGAAUCUUCAGUUACCGAGGAUAACUUUUCCACUUCCAAUUCUUUUAUUCUUUUGAGUGAUAUAAAAUCCGAGUGACAGUAGGCAUGCACAACCAAACGGGUAUCGACUUUAAGCAUACCAGCGCCCUUUGGGGUUCCAUAAUCCCAUAAUCUUUGAUUUUGAAAUACAAGAACAACGUUAUCUACUUUUUUUCUUUCAGAGUACGCUAUUCUGACACGACGAAACUGUUGGUUCGACUUAACUUUGAAAAAUAACGGUGCCUCCCAGUCCCGGGGAAGAGAGAUAUUGCUGUUUGGAAUUCUCUGUCCAAUUACGGCUAACUGGAGAACGACGGAAAUAACUGGUUCAUUUGUUGAGAAUUCCGAUUUGGAGUGAUACAGCGUUGAGUGGUCACUUUUUGAAUGCUUUAAAAGGGGCACAUCAGCCGAAGUAUUGUCAUCGUCUUCUUCAAUUUCUCUCUUAUGCGUGUGAAUUUGUACAUCCAUAUCACUUGAUGAUUUUUCAAACUCCUGAACUUGCCGAUCAAUUUCCUCUAACCUACGAGCAAAGUCAUCGUCCAGCAGUGAUGAAGUCGUAGAAAGCGCAGCCUCACUAUUAAUGCUGUUGUUUCGCAAGUUAGCGGCCGCCCUAGUAUUAUAAACUGGUGAAACCGGUUGUGUUACACAGGAGAUAGCACUUUUGGGUGAGUGCCUACCUUCAUUCAAACACGCAUUAGGAGUAGUGUCUGAAACGUCUUGGUUGCCUUCAUCAGCAUCUAAAAUAGUGGAUUGACGAGAUAAAGGUUCGGCACUUUUGUUUUCAUUAUGAGUUAUAUUUUUCUGUGCAUUUAUGUGUUCUAAUGCUUGUUUAUUGGUAUCAAGUUCACUUUCCUCUUCUAGAAUGUUGUAAGCAAGCUGACACUUUGCAAUCGGAAUUAAAACUUACCAGAAUCUGAGGAAGAGGCUAUUAAUUGCUUGGCAUAGUUUAAUGGAGGCUUUUUAAUAGGCUUUGAGAAGAAUGCUAAGUCAUCUUCAUCUAGGUUGUCCAUUUGGCGAGUUUUAGCAAUUACGGUGGUUCCACAAAGCUUCUUAUGGAUUUAACGAGAAUUUGUAGCGACACACCUUAAACUAGGUAAUUUUUAGCUUAGUUUUGUUUUCACUCAAGUUUAUUACAAAUCGAUUUUGAAAGUUAUAUAAUAAUUUUAUAAUUCAAUUGAAAAAGUUCAAUGAACAUUCCUCCAACUCAUCUUCGAAAUGAAGUUUGUUUACUUACGCAAAACCCGAUCUUGUCCACUUAGCAAACAGAUUUAAGUCUAUAGAAUUUCAUUUUUUAGGUUAAGUAAUUUGAAAACUCUUUGCUUCUUGUACUGAGACAUUAGGUUUGAUGAAUUUCAAUGACAUUGGCUCACCUUACGACGGCUACAUUGCGUCCGUCCAUUACUGCCA